UUUCUUUCUUUCUUUCUUUCCCCCCGUUUUUUCCAUCUUCUGUUUUCACUCUAGUUUUCGCCCUCUCUUCCACGCACCAUCGCGAAUUUCACCUUCUCCAUUGAAGGGUUUACGUGCCUUCUCACUCUAUUGAAACAUCACCUCCUUCUCUCUCCAUAUCUCUGGCCUCCAUUGAACUCGUGCUCUAUAUUCUCCAUUGAAGCCGAUCUUGAGCUUUCUAACCUCCAUUGAAGCAGCUUCGAGGUAAGGGUUCUGGUUUUAAUAAGUAGGAGAAGGAGAGAGUAGGUCCUACCCGCCGCCACUCACCCUUCGCCGGCCACCCUCCGUUCCCUCAACCGUCCUUCGUGCAUCGGCCACUGACCACUAGCCCGUUGUCCACAUCAUUUGCACAGCCUUCUGGAAUGUCUUUAUCUCCAGAUAUGAAAUAGGUGUACAUUGCGGAUAGUGAGAGUAGCUCUAUUAGAGCUCUUGAUCUCAAGACAGGAGGAUCAAGAUUGCUGGUUGCAGUGGCACUUCUCAUACUCCUGUUUAGCCUGUAGCGAUAUUGUACCAGUAAAAUGGGAUUCAUAGUUGGCGCUGCUUUAUUUAUAUGGUUCUGCUGUCUGGCUGGCAUUGGAAUCCACAACUUGCUGAAGUAUGAUCGAGAUGUUUGGAAGGCUUUUAACCCUAUCCACAUCUACUUCUAUUUCAAAAGGAACAACAUAGAGGCUUGGUAUGCUCUUGAGGGUUGUCUCCUUUGUGCAACAGGUUCUGAAGCAAUGUUUGCUGACCUUUGCUACUUUUCAGUGAGUUCAGUUCAGGCAGCUUACCUCAUACAGAAUCCAGGAGAUUGCGCCCAAGCAUUUUACUCAUCUGUACCUAGUAUGUUUUGUCCUUAUACCAUAACUCGACUAUUUAUUCAAGUACGUUUGGGCAUGAUUAUAUUCUGGGCAUUGCAUCAUUAGUCAUAUCAUCUCAGGCUUCUUUUGCACUUCAAACUCAAACAGCAACCUCUCUCAAAUAGAAUGAAAAUUGGAGAGAUGUGAAAGAAGCCUUAGCUUUAUUUGUUUUACUGCUAUAAAUCUUUUUGUCAUGUGCAUGUUCUAGCCUCCUAUUCCCAUUCUUACCUUUGGUUAAGCUUUAGGUUAAUGUUUCCCAUAUAGUCUCCUUUUUGACAACCAGGGAGGAUGGAAAAUCUGCUCAUGUAUAUUACUCCUUAUUAAAUUUGUCUGGGUUUACUCAAUGUGAGUGAGUAAAAUACAAAUUCUAUGGCCUUUGAUAGCUAGAUUGGUUAUGGUAAAUUUUCAUUCGAUGACCUAUGUGGAUGGAGAAGCUAUUGUUGUCCCUAUGCUCCCAUCAGCCGCUAGUGUUGUAUGUUUGUGUUCGUGUGUGUGUGUGUGUGUGUGUGAAAUUAUUUUUUUCCCUUUGGUUGUUCUUACCAUUCUUCUUUGCAGCUGAUUAGCAACUCAAUGUGUAAGCUUUCACUAGGACUUUACUACCCUAGGUACCUUAAAAUAGCAUGGGAUAGUUGGAGCAAGUUAGGUUCUUUUAUCUACUGCGGGUUGGAUGAAGGGUGGUGCCUUUUGGCCUGUUUUCAUUAUUGCUAAUAUUGCUGCACUGAUUGCUAGUCGAGAUACGACUACUGCUACAUUUUCAUGUAAAAAGCAAUCGACUACACUUGGCUGCUUUCCUCGACUUAAAAUUAUCCAUACAUCUUGAAAAUUCAUGGGCCAGAUCUACAUUUCUGUUGUGAACUGGUUUUUGCUUGCGGCCAGUGUGGUGUUGGUCUGCUCCGUUCCAAGUAUUACGGAGAUUGGGAAUUCAUAUGCUGCCUCGGGUUCUGUUUGGUGUUGCAGCUGGGCUCUGGCUGAUGUUGCUGUUUAUGGUGCUGAAUGGUGGUUUGUUCUGUUAGCCAAUGUGCUAAUAUUUUUGAUGGGCACAACAAACUUGUAAAGGGAAGGAAAAUUAACUAGAUGAAGGCAGGUAUUUUAGAAUCAGACCGUGUAGUAACUGUGAGCCCUUUCUAUGCACAAGAGAUUGUAUCGAGUGUUGAGAGAGGUGUGGAGCUCAAUGAUAUAGUUCAGAGGACUAGAAUCACUGGCAUAGUGAACAGCAUGGAUGUGCUGGAAUGGAAUCCAACUACUGAUAAGUACGUUGGAUCUAAUUAUGAUAGAUCAACUGAAUAUCCCUUUGAUUGGUUUUAUAGGCCGACUUGAAGAGCAGAAAGGUUGUGACAUUCUUGUAGAAGCAAUUCCUCAAUUCAUCGGGCAAAAUGUGCAGAUUAUUGUUCUUGGACAGGAAAGAAGGAAAUGGAGAAGCAGAUUCAACAGUUGGAAGCUCUCUACCCUCAAACGGCGAGAGGGGUGACCAAAUUCAACGUCGCAUUGGCUCAUAUGAUUGUAGCUGGUGCUGAUUACAUGCUGAUACCUAGCAGAUUUGAGCCCUGUGGGCUAAUCCAGCUCCAUGCAAUGCAUUAUGGAACGGUGCCACUAGUGGCCUCCACUGGUGGACUUGUCAAUACUGUACAAGAAGGUUACACCGGAUUCCACAUGGGUCGUUUCAGUGCAAAUUGUGACACGGUGGAUCCAACUGAUUUACAAGCUGUAGUAACAACAGUGAAGAGGGCAAUAGAGACGUAUGGAACUCCGGCUUCAAGAGAGAUGAUCCAAAAUUGUAUGGCACAAGAUUUCUCAUGGAAGGUAGGCUGUGUGAAGUGAUCAACAUAGUACACUUUUAGCCAAGUUAAUCUCAUUUGUCAUGGUGCUAAUUAAUUUGCUGUAUUUUCGUUCCUUGCUUUGAUUUUUUUUUUGACAAAAAUUGUAAUAUUACAGCCUUUUUUAAUGA